AGGCAACCAGUAGCAGAAAAAGAAACAAAGAAGGAGAGCUUCUAAACAUCCUUGACAGACUCCGUGAGCGUGCAGAAAAAACACAAGAAGAUGACCAGACAGAAGAGAUUCAUGUCUUUACUAAAGGUGAAAAGGUGUCUGCCUACUAUUCCAAUGAUAAGAAAUGGUACGAUGCUGUUAUUACUGCAGUUUUAAAAGACGGCUAUCGCAUCAAAUAUGUGUUAGAUGGGUUUAGAGAAGUGAUUAAAGAUACUGCAUUGUUGAAGAAAAUGUGAUUUAAAGAACUAUGACAAAAGACAGUGUAUAAGAACUUAUGUUAGAAUGAUGUUUUUAUUAUUCAUAGUGACAAACAAAUAUUUUGCUCUGUUUUGAAAGAGAACAAUUUAUUUAUUUAUUUAUUGCAAAGUUUAAACUUAACUUUUCUGUUAUGUAUUUGUGCUUUACCAUUCAGCUAUCUCGAUGGUUCUUAAUGUGAUUUAAAGAACUGUGACAAAAGACAGUGUAUAAGAACUUAUGUUAGAAUGAUGUUUUAUUAUUCAUAGUGACAAACAAAUGUUUUGAUCUGUUUUUAAAGAAAGUAAUUUAUUUAUUUAUUUAUUUAUUAAAAAGUUUAAACUUAA